UACAGAGGUGGCAAGCGUUGUUCGGAAUUACUGGGCGUAAAGGGCGCGUAGGCGGCCCGCUAAGUCGAACGUGAAAUCCCCGAGCUCAACUCGGGAACUGCGUCCGAUACUGGCGGGCUUGAAUCCGGGAGAGGGAUGCGGAAUUCCAGGUGUAGCGGUGAAAUGCGUAGAUAUCUGGAGGAACACCGGUGGCGAAGGCGGCGUUCUGGACUGCAACUGACACUGAGAGACGAAAGCCAGGGGAGCAAACGGG
rnacentral:rRNA from 1 species